CCUACGGGAGGCAGCAGUGGGGAAUAUUGCGCAAUGGGCGAAAGCCUGACGCAGCGACGCCGCGUGAGGGAUGAAUGUCUUCGGAUCGGAAACCUCUGUCAGCAGGGAAGAACGGUCACUGUGCUAAUCAGCAGUGAAUUGACGGUACCUGCAAAGGAAGCACAGGCUAACUCCGUGCCAGCAGCCGCGGUAGUACGGAGGGGGCGAGCGUGAAUUGGAAUUACUUGGCGUAAAGCGCUCGUAGGCGGUAUGUCAAGUCAAGGGUGAAAUCCCGGCGCUCAACGUGGGAACUGCCUUUGAAACUGGCAAACUGGAGUGUGUGAGAGGAUAGUGGAAUUCGAGGAGUAGGAGUGAAAUCCGUAGAUAU
rnacentral:rRNA from 1 species